rnacentral:rRNA from 1 species
AGGACGAACGCUGGCGGCGUGCUUAACACAUGCAAGUCGAACGGAAAGGCCCGCUUGCGGGUACUCGAGUGGCGAACGGGUGAGUAACACGUGGGCAACCUGCCCUCAGCUCUGGGAUAACUCCGGGAAACCGGUGCUAAUACUGGAUAUCGACUUCUGCUCGCAUGGGUGGUUGUUGAAAGUUUUUCGGCUGGGGAUGGGCCCGCGGCCUAUCAGCUUGUUGGUGGGGUAAUGGCCUACCAAGGCGACGACGGGUAGCCGG